rnacentral:lncRNA from 1 species
UCGAAUAUUCAGUUUUAUUUCAUUGCUUCAUGUUUACAAUAUGCCAAGAGAAAUCCACACUGUGAACUUUAUACCUUCAAAUUUUGUAUCUAACUCAAACCCCAUUAAGUAAUUAAUCCAAUAAAUAGAUAUACCAAAUGGUAACAUAUUGCUUUAUUUGCUGUAAUUUGUAAAAGACUGCUGUCACAUUAGUGAGGUGGGGGAACUUGACUCUGGCAAUGCCUCUAAUUUCCAAUUCCAAGCUCCACUUCACCUCGAAUGCAUCUAAUUUCCAGCUCCAGGACUUGGAACUGACGAGUCAUGUACCACAAUUUUCAUGGUAAUGUGCCCCCCGUUAACAGCCAUUGCUGGACCAUGUUUACUCGAAGAAGAAAGUGGCGCAAGUACCUUAACAGGAGCAUUAACGCCCUUGCUGAAGGCUUUUCUGGCUUGAAAAGAUGGUGUAUGGCAUACCAAUAGUACAAGAAAAGUUAUGAAAAUAAUUCUUUUGAAAUGAGCCAUAGAGGUGAGAUAGGAAAGCUAGAAAAACAAAGGCUUAAUGCUGCAAGGAAGGUAAUUUGCUGUGGUCUUG